GACGGAGGGGGCUAGCGUUGUUCGGAAUUACUGGGCGUAAAGCGCGUGUAGGCGGCCGCUCAAGUUAGGCGUGAAAGGCCCGGGCUCAACCUGGGAAUGGCGCUGAAGACUGCUCGGCUGGAGUACGGGAGAGGGUGGUGGAAUUCCCAGUGUAGAGGUGAAAUUCGUAGAUAUUGGGAGGAACACCAGUGGCGAAGGCGGCCACCUGGCCCGGCACUGACGCUGAGGCGCGAAAGCGUGGGGAGCAAACAGG
rnacentral:rRNA from 1 species